GGAGAUAGAGAGAGGGAUAAGGGAGGUGAUGGAGGAUGAUAGUGAUGUAAGGAAGAGGGUGAAAGAGAUGAGUGAGAAGAGCAAAAAAGCCUUGACGGAAGGUGGCUCCUCGCACUCUUCAUUGGGACAUUUUCUUGAUCAGAUUUUCCUUUGAUAUAUUAGGAAAGUCCUAGAAAAAUGAGAAAUUCCUACUGUUUUUGUUUCUGUCAUGAGUAGAUGAAUUUAAUAAAGUUCUUAAUUCUAAUAAUUUUCUCUAUAUAUAUAUGCUCCUUCUUCACCACAUGAACUGAGGUUGAUAUAUUUAUUCAAUUUCUAUUCUUCAACUUUCUACUUCAAUUUUGUGGUGCAUACCAAAAAAAGGAAAAUGUUGUUAAAUGAAUGGUAUAUGAUGUGGGAAUAUUGAGUUGUACUAAAAUAAAUAAGAUAUAAUAUUCAGCAAGUGGUGUGAGCAUCCCCGAAAAUAGAGCAGCAGUAACCUUUUCCACUUUGUUAAAUACUAGUACUGUUUUGAAUUUGAAAAAGAAAAACUCUGCGAACCAAGUGGCAAUCCAUAGAAUCUACAGGAGAAUCAACGUAAAAUGUGGUUUAUGAAAAGUCCUGUGAAGUUGUGUGUUUGGUCUACAAUUCCGAACAUGUUUUUACUCAUUAAAUUCUGACCUCAUCCUUGUUGAUGAGUCUUGUGAAGUUGUGUUGUUAAGUAUCAGACACCAAGAGCCAUGAUUUGAGGGCAUGCCGACUCUCUACUGCCAAGUCCACGACGACUUGUCAGACCAAAACCAGUUAUGAGUAAAUAACUUUAUCAAAUCUUGACUAAACGAAUGCCAGCAAAUACAUGACGUCACCUGGCAAAAAUGAAAAAGAAGUAAUCUAAGCAAUGUUAGAAACACCGUGCACAUGAUGUAUAUAAAGAUGUUUCAUGAGAUGAGUUUUUCCUAAGGGAUUCUAAUUUUAAAUCAAUUGAGGCCUUUUCUAUUUUUAGAUCUCUUUCUAUAGUGGAAGUAGAUCCUGUGAAUGAAUGUCUCGCAGAAUUAUGCCUACGGAAUUGACUAGGGGUUGGUAACUGUUUUAGCUGUACUAAAAAUUUUAGAGGUUGAUUUCCAAAGUUGAUUUUGACUGUGUCAUCUCAGUAUUGUUGGAUACAAUCCAAAUUAAAUAGGCUAUGUUGAACCGAAGUGGGUUGGCUUUAAGUUGCUAGAGUCCAAUAUGAGGGAAGGGUGACUUCUGACCAUUUAAUAGAAUGGAGAAUUCUUAUGUUAGCAUUUGCUUGUCUACUCUGGAUUAGUAAAUUUUGAUCUUUAGGACUUUUAUUAAGGGCUUGGAAAUUCAUAUUGGUUCCUGUGACUUUAUAAUAAAUUCUAUAGACUAAGGCUAAAAGUUGGGAUCUAGGUAAGAUCUCAUAACUUGCAGUUUUAAUAUUUAAAGUCAAGAUUUUUAAUAUAUAGGGAUCACUAAGGCUUACUGUGAAAUCAGGGUAGCAAUCAAAGUGAACUGGACCAAUAAACAAACUGGAUUAUAUUAUUCCUAAGGUACUGUCACUAAAAUUGGUGAAUCGUGCAUCUCUUAGGCAAAGCAAAAUAGAAGCAUUAAGACCUGUUUUUGUUAGAGGUUUGACUGCUACUUGAACAAGACCAAUAUGCAAGAAAUUGUUUUCCAUCUUUCCUAUGUUUCUUAAUUGACUCAAGAUUAAGUAAUUGUCAGGUUUCAUGUUCUUUACUAAGGGCAUAAACUUGCUCAACUGUUUUAACAUGGGUUGCGCUUUUGAAGGAGGAGAGAGACCAUCUUUUCUUAUAAAUUUCUGUAGUGGGGACUUUGGGAAUAAUCCAAUCUUUCUAGUCGACUUUAUUACUAGUUUCAUACUCAGUUUGUUCUUCAUUAACUAUGUAUGGGACCUUACUAAUACUGGCUAUAGAACUGCUACUGCUGCAAGAGUUUGAUCUAAAAAGGAGACUCAUUAGGACAAGUUUACUGGCUUUUCUCUUAUGGGUAGAAAGUAAACCUAAAAUCCUAGUGUAGACUCAAGGUUAUCUGAAGACCUAGGAACUCUCUCUUUCUCUGCUCAUGCCUCACCUGGGGCUUAGUGUUUGGAGUCUAGGACUUAUUGUUUGGGUUGAAAGAGAGUUGCAAGUAAUGACAAGACCCACCCCGAAUUCCUCGGAAACCUGAAACGAAUCCUGCGGAAUUUCCGACAUUGUACCUAUGCCGGGCCCACUUACUAAAACUAUUACCUCAUUUCCCAAAUAGGAAUAGGGGCACGAGGCUUUGUGCCGAAAUUUUGACAGAGUCUCCCCUAUAAAUCGGACUUACCCCAAAUUUUCAACCUAUCAAAAAUUACAAUUUAAGAAGCCAACUGCCAGCAGGCACAAUGUAAUAACACACAAUUUACAGACAAGGCUUCCAACCUUCAAAUAAAUCAAGGCAGGACAACUAGAAAUGCAAUUAAGGAACUCAAAUCAUUUUUUGAAUAUUGUUGUAAUCAAUAUAAAAUUAACUUUCCAAUUUUCAAUCAGGCGAGGUUUAACCUCCUAACACAACUGCAAGUAUAUUUAAGGCCUCAGCCCAAAACGUACAACGAUUCACAAUGGGUUCCAAAACUGUCUUGAUCACAACCACAUUUCAACAACACCCAACUAGUCAAAUGGGAAAAUGAAAAAUCAAUCAAUCAAGCCUUGUUUUCAAACGAGUUUAAUGCCCAACGACAAGGUCGAAACCGAAAUCAUCCCAAGACCAAAAUAACUUUAGUUCAAAACUGCACUUGGGUGGGACCCUAGGCUACCUAUGUACCAUUACUAAGGGAUUAAGCCACCCGUAGUUCUUCAUCCACAGUCACAACUCCAGUAAUAUACAACCUUUUUCUUUAAAAAAAACCGACGAAUGACUUUAGACUCCUUAUUAUAUCAAAUUUAACAAGGCAACCCCUAAACACUUUAUGAUUUCCUUUCUUUUAUCAAUUCUUUCCGUACAACCAUACCCUAUUCAAGGCACAUGUUGCUAAACAACACUUCCCAAAUCUGGGACUCAGACGUUCAUACCAAUCUAGGGUAAUCACAAAGCACAACCUCACAUAUCUCAACCCGAAAACAAAUCCUCAAAUAUAUGUAUUUAAUAUGUAUAAAUAUAAUUACACCACCUCCAACCAUCAUCAUGUACCAAGGAAAACAAUCCAAUCUGGGGAUUGUUUGACUAGACUACAUGAAGGAAUCCUCAACAACCAUGUGGCUAGGGAGCGAGCCGUCCAACCGGGGGACUAACUCUCAGCCAGCAUGUACAGUCGAAUCCUCAAGACUCGUAUACCCAUGACAAGUCCUACGCGCGCAGACUACCCAAAUCAAGGAUCUACAUAUCCACAUGUCCAUAUCCAUAUAUCCAUUUCCGUGCGUCCACGUAUCCAUAUCCACUGCUUCCAAGUAUCAGUAUCCAAGGGGAUGUACACACGAUGAUGCACAUCAUGUACCGAGGAAAACAAUCCAAUUGGGGAUCGUUUGACUAGACCACAUGGAGGAUUCCUCAACAACCAUGUGGCUAGGGAACGAGCCGUCCAACCAGGAGACUAACUCUCAGCAAGCACGAACAGCCGAAUCCUCAAGACUCGUACACCUGUGAGAAGUCCUACGCGAGCAGACUACCCCCUAAAGGUCCACGAACCCCUUUCAAGGGCGUCUGAGUUCCAACCUAUUCAAGUAUCUUCCAUAUUCCAAAUAUCCAUUUCCAUUUUCAUUCCAGAAUCCAUAUCCAAGGAAGCCCAUACGUCCGAAACACGGCCCGUGUGUGUAUAGUAACGAGGGAAGGUACGUAUGAUGGUGGAGUUCGUAACCCGUAUAACAAUAUUUUAAAAAGACAUUUCCUUCCUUAAAACCCUUAUCCAGUGAGGUACCUAAAGUAGUGCUUAUAGCACUUUAAAACUGACAUUCUAAACUCAUUUCUUUCCACAACCUCACAACAACAACCCAAGUAUCCCACACAUAUUCAACAUAGAUAGCACAUUCUCAAUUAUUAUAUAAUUGAACUCAAAAUACACAAAUAUGUCAAAACCCACGUAUAUCACUAACUUUACGAAAAUAAUAAAUUCAAUUAUUAAAUAUUCAAUGAAUUUAAAUAAACCAUUAAAUUUAUAUGCAUAAUAUUUCCAUCACAAAACCAUACUGUUUAUUUGAAAACAAUGUCCAUUUACACGAGGAAAAAGAGACGUUCUAAGGUCCAACUAUCCAAUUCGGAUGAUGGGAUAGCCUCGGGGGACACUCGGUCAACCGGGCGGUCAAACUUUCCAAAACAGGUCAACGGGGCCCACGGGACCUACGACCUCUAUUUUACGAUCCAGACAUUUCUAAGGGCUCCACAAGGUCUAAGAUACACGUCCUGCAAGUUUGGCCCGAAACGGACAGUCGAAUCGCUCACGAUCAGACGGUUAUCAUAAAACACCAACUUUAAGUUAUUAAAUCGGAAAAUCCAGUACUCCGAUCCACGAUCCGUGAAUUCCUACACAAUCCUAGGAAUGCCUAGAUUAACAUAUAUUAAAUUCAAGAUGAUCCAAUGGUUCAAACCUAUCGAACCCGGAUAACGUACAAUAGGCAAAAUCCGUUCGAGACUCAAACGGUAUCCGAAUUGAAAUCCGAGCACCCCUAUGCGCUCGUGACAAUAAGGGGAUCGCAUCGGAACACAAUGCCCAUCCGCUAUAAUGCCCACGCGACGCCACAUGCGCAGGCAGCACGUAGGUGUCCAAAAAGAUACCACUCGUAGGAAAACCUCAAAAUUUCAGGCCAAUAUUCCUAUCAUAGGUUCAAGACAUCGAUUGGAGACACUUUUGCUCUUGGGCCUACCCCAAAAAGUGACCGGAAGUAGUCGGAAUUUCAUCUCAAAAUCCAGCCAAACUGAAAUUUGAAAAUUGAUCUAUCAACGCUUAAAAUUUCUGAAAUCCUACCCAACCAUCAGUUAGAUCAUGAAAAGUAGGUGAGAAAGCAUAUCUCACUCGCCGAAAUUGGUGGCUGGAUGACGGAGAACGAAGUCGGAGAAUUUCGAGUGAAAAAUCGGCCGUUUCUCUUCGAUUUUCCGGUGAAAACACGGUGGCAGGCAGCGGGGCCUGGCUGGGGUUGGAAGAGGACGGUGGCCUAAUCAUCUUGGUACCUGCCCCGUCAAUUUUGGUAGUUGGAGUAAAGAAGUGCUAGCCAAAACGUGGCAGGCUGGGCGUUGCCGUCGCGAGAGAAGAAAGAUGUUGCGGGGAAAGAGAGAGAGAGAGAGAGAGAGAGAGAGAGAGAGAGAGAGAAAAUGAGGGUUUCCAGAUUUUUAUCAAACCUUUUUCGUAAAAAUUACGGUGAUGCUACUGAGGGUAUUUUGAUCGUAUUUUUUUUGGUCACAAAUCCGAUUCAAGCUCAUUAUGUGUCUACAGACUCAACUCGUCAUGCUCUAUGCAACGGUACAGUCAAAAUUCUAAAAAUCUUCCUGAUCAAAAAGUCAACGUUAAAUCUAGUAAAAUAUUGUAGGGGCAAAAUGGUCUUUUGGCAGAAUGAGAAACUGAAUUACCAGUCAAUGAAUGCACAAUAGAAAGUAAAGGACAUAUUUCUAAUGCAUAAUAGAAAUAUCAGUCAUUAUGGCGGAAUGAGAAACUGAAUUAGACUAACUCAACAAGACUAUAGUGAUGAUGAUGUUGCAGAUGGAGGCUUUGAACAACGACAAUGAGGCCCGGCACAAGAGGCUCUCAAGUUGUUGAUCGAAUUGGCCGAAACCGAGCCCAUGUUCCUAGGCAGCAGAGAGAGAGUAGGUUGGGGAGGCGCGGGUUUGUAGGCGUUAAGUCCAAGUCGAGGCGGGUCUAUGUGGGUGGGUCAAUGAUAGAUUUCUAAGGGUUGGUUCAAGGUCGGCGAUGAGAGAGAGAGAGAGAGUGGAAGGAACAGGAAAGGAGAGAAUGGGGUUUUUUUUUUUUUUCCUAUUUUCAAUAUUUUUAAUUUUUUAAUUAAUUUUUUUUUUCACACAUCAGCCCCAAUUAAAUAUUCCUAAUUGAAUUUAUAUAUUUUUUAUAGUUCAAAAUCCCUAAUUAAAUUUAAAUAUUACAAUAAUUAUUUUUUAGUCCGACACAUCACCAAAUAUAGGUCUUCAUUAUUUUUACAAUACAGCUUCUUAGUCGACAAGACACCAAAUGUAGGUUAGUACUUAAUCCAGCUUAGGCUAAUCCAAGCUAAUUCAAGACAGCCUCAUUAUUUAAUCUAGUCCAUGACAGUUUGCCAUACCAAACGACCUCUUAGAAGUCAAUUUUUAGUCCUUACAUUUUGAGUUAUUUUUCAUUUUUCUAGGUGUAUCUCUGGCACUUUUAGUAUAUUGUAAUUAUAGUUUGCUACCUUUCUUAACCGCAGUCUGAUUUGCUAAACCCAAAUGAUUUUCAAGACUGAAACUUGAGGUGGAUUUCUCCUGUGCGAUAAUCAUAUGUUGGCACGUCAGAUUUUCGUCAUGAAAAUUAACAACAUCAACUAUUUGGAUAGAGAUUAAACACUCGGCAAACCACGUCAUAAUCGUGAGAGCCAAAAUUGUGAACAUAUAAAUUAUAAGAAGGAAAGUUGUUGGUAUAAAAAUUGUAUUAUCGACAAAAGCAGCACAUCACUUGCAUCGUUGGGAUAUCUAUCACCUCUUCAAUUCCUCUACGUAACUAUAUGAUUAAUUGCUUAAUUUAUUGCCAGGCGGCAAUCUGUUCUUUUACCAAUGAGCUUGAGGAAGCUUCUGACCAAUGCCAGCAAAGGCAUGACGUCAUCACUGUAUCUUGACCUAAGCAAAGAUUAUUAAUUCCAACAUUCAACUGUAGCAAUAUUAUAUCAAGGGCAUCGACAUGAACUUUUCAUUUCCAUCAGAAUAUCUAAAACCUCCCUUUGUUCUUCCCCAAAUGGAGAAAGCUUCAGAGCUAGUCUUCAUCCCUUCCGCCGGCAUGGGCCACCUUGUCUCCGCCGUCGAGAUGGCAACGCUCCUCGUUGCUCGACACGACCGACUUUUCAUCACCGUCUUCAUCAUGAAGCUGCCCUUCGACUCCAAAGGCACCGAGUCCUACAUAGCCUCCCUCGAGGCCUCUCCCGUGUCGCCACGUGUCAACUUCAUCACCCUCCCAAAAGUUCCUGCCAUAGACAACCACAUCAGCCCCAACUCCUUCCGCAACCAGUUCAUCGAAAGUCACAAACCCCACGUCAAAAACGCGGUCGCCAAACUCACCGAGUCUGAGUCCGAUUCAAGGCCUCGGCUCGCUGGGUUCGUCAUCGACAUGUUUUGUACAACAAUGAUCGACGUGGCGGAUGAAUUUGGGGUUCCUACUUACAUGUUCUUCACUUCACCAGCUGGGUUUCUGGGGUUGUUGUUUAACCUGCAGAGAAUUCGUGACGUGUAUAACAAGGAAGUGAGUGAGUUCAAGGACUCGGAUGCUGAGUUGGCCCUGCCCACUUUCGUCAACUCGGUUCCCGCCAAUGUCUUGCCCAGUGUGCUUCUGGACAAGGACGGCGCGAAGGCGAUCCUCGGCUAUGCCAAACGGUUUAGAGAAACCAAGGGUAUUUUGGUAAAUACAUUCAUGGAGCUGGAAUCGCACGCUCUUGAUUCUCUUUCUGAUGGUGAAACCCCACCGUUGUAUCCUGUGGGCCCCAUCUUGAACCUAAAGAGUGAUGAUAGCCAAUCGGAUUCAAAGCAGGCGCAACAGAAGUCUGAUGUAUUGGAGUGGCUAGAUGAUCAGCCUCCGUCGUCUGUGGUGUUCCUGUGCUUUGGGAGCAUGGGAAGCUUUGGUGAGGACCAGGUGAGAGAGAUAGCAUGGGGGCUUGAGCGGAGUGGGCUCCGGUUCUUGUGGUCUCUACGCCAGGCGCCACCAAAGGAGACCGUUGCGUCCCCUAGUGACUAUUCAGAUCCCAAGGCGGUGUUGCCCGAAGGGUUCCUCGAUCGGGCGGUUGGAAUUGGAAAGGUCAUAGGGUGGGCCCCGCAGGUGGCGAUCUUGGCCCACCGGGCAAUUGGCGGGUUCGUAUCUCACUGCGGGUGGAAUUCGACGCUUGAGAGUCUAUGGUUCGGGGUGCCGGUUGCCACGUGGCCAAUGUACGCUGAGCAACAAUUAAAUGCCUUUGAAUUGGUGAGGGAGUUGGGAUUGGCUGUGGAAAUCAAGAUGGAGUAUAGGAGGGACUUUUAUGGGGAGAGUCCGAAGGUUGUGAAGGCAGAAGAGAUAGAGAGAGGAAUAAGGGAGGUGAUGGUGCAGGAUAGUGAUUUAAGGAAGAGGGUGAAAGAGAUGAGUGAGAAGGGCAAGAAAGCCUUGAUGGAUGGUGGGUCGUCACACUCUUCAUUGGGACAUUUUCUCCAUCAGAUUUUUCUUUGAUAUACCGCACAUGAAAAUCAAUAAUGCCCAAUGACAAUUUCUCGCGAUAUUCAUGUAAAUGCCCCUUAAAAAUGGAGGGCCCUAGCAAUUACUCAGCUUGUACAUGGUAAAAGCCGUGGUAAGCGGAGCAUACUGCCGUCAGGGGCCGUUAAUCAUUCUGCAGUACUCUACUGAGAUAGGCAAUCGCAGUCUAACUAUACCUUUCUCAAUGCAAUGGAUGAUCCUAUGUUGCGACACCAAAUUUUUGUCAUGAAAAUUAAUAAUAUUAACAAUUUAGAAAAAAAAUUAAAAACUUGGCAAACUAAAAUUGUCAACAUCUAAAUUAUAAGAAAGAAAGUGGAAAGUACUUCAAAUUACACGAAGAAAAUAAUAGUGUUCUUGUGAAUUUUUAUUUGGAGAUUUAUUUUUCUACUUGACGAGAAAAGCAUCACAUGAGUCGCACUGUUAGGCUAGAAAUGGAAGUUUCCAAGAAUAAAUUUAGGAGACGUUUCUACAAAAUUCCACCCUUUGAUGGCAGCAAAGGCAUGACGUCACCACUUGCAUCCUUGGCCCAGAGCAUUAAUUCCAACACAACAUGGAAAUGAACUAUUUCCAUCAAAAGAUCUAAAACCUACCGCUCUUAUUCCAUUCUGACAAACAGAAAAAAAAACCUCUCUUAUUCCAUAUGGAGAAAGCUUCACACCUAGUCGUCAUCCCAUCCGGCCGCAUCGGCCAUCUCGUCUCCGCCGUCGAGAUUUCGAAGCUCCUUGUUUCCCGCCACGACCAACUUUUCAUCACCGUCCUCAUCAUGAAGCUACCCUUCGACUCCAAGGGCACAGAGGCCUACAGAGCCUCCCUCGAAGCCUCUCCCGUACUGCCACGUGUCAACUUCAUCACCCUCCCAAAAGUCCCAGACCUAGACAAGCACCUCAGCUCCCACUCCUUCCGCAACCAAUUCGUCGAAAGCCACAAAACCCACGUCAAAAACGCGGUCGCCGAACUCACCGAGUCACAGUCCGAUUCGAGGCCUCGGCUUGCUGGGUUCGUCAUCGACAUGUUUUGCACAACAAUGAUCGAUGUGGCGGAUGAUUUUGGGAUUCCUACGUACAUGUUCUUCACUUCACCUGCUGGGUUUCUCGGGCUGCUGUUUAACCUACAAAGAAUUCGCGAUGUGUAUGGCAAGGACGUCAGUGAGUUCAAAGACUCGGACACUGAGUUGUACCUGCCCACUUUUGUCAACUCGGUUCCCGGCAGAGUCUUGCCUAGUGCGGUUCUGGACAAAGAGGGCGCGGAGACGUUUCUAAGCUAUGCCAAACGGUUUACAGAAACCAAGGGCAUUUUGGUAAAUACAUUCAAGGAGCUAGAACCACAUGCUCUUGAUUCUCUUUCUGAUGGUGAAACCCCGCCUUUGUAUCCUGUGGGUCCCAUGUUGAAUCUGAUGAGUGAUGAGACCCAAUCGGGUUCGGAGCAGGCCCAACGGAAGUCUGAUAUAUUGGAGUGGCUAGAUGAUCAGCCUCCUUCGUCCGUGGUGUUCCUGUGCUUUGGGAGCAUGGGAAGCUUUGACGAGGACCAGGUGAGGGAGAUAGCGUUGGGGCUGGAGCGGAGUGGGCUCCGGUUCUUGUGGUCUCUACGCCAGCCCCCACCAAAGGGGACCGUUGUGUCCCCUGGUGACUACUCGGAUCUCACGGGGGUCUUGCCCGAAGGGUUCCUCGAUCGAACCGCUGCGAUGGGAAAGGUCAUAGGGUGGGCUCCGCAGGUGGCCAUCUUGGCGCACCCGGCAGUAGGAGGGUUCGUAUCCCACUGCGGGUGGAAUUCCACGCUUGAGAGCCUGUGGUUCGGGGUGCCGAUGGCCGCGUGGCCGGUGUACGCAGAGCAACAAUUAAAUGCCUUUGAAUUGGUAAGGGAGUUGGGUUUGGCAGUGGCAAUUAAGAUGGAUUAUAGGAGAGACACCCAAGUGGUGGUGAGUGCAGAGGAGAUAGAGAGAGGGAUAAGGGAGGUGAUGGAGCAUGAUAGUGAUGUAAGGAAGAGGGUGAAAGAGAUGAGUGAGAAGAGCAAAAAAGCCUUGACGGAAGGUGGCUCCUCACACUCUUCAUUGGAACAUUUUCUUGAUCAGAUUUUCCUUUGAUAUAUUAGGAAAGUCCUAAAAAAAUAAGAAAUUCCUACUGUUUAUGUUUCUAUCAUGAGUAGAUGAAUUUAAUAAAGUUCUUAAUUCUAAUAAUUUUCUCUACAUAUUUAUUUCGGUGCACAUUCAAGAUCUUCAACAUCUUGAUCAAUUAUAUAAUAGAAAACCAGGCUUGGAUGGGGGAAGGAAACCAUGAUCUGUACGCCUUUUAAACAGACAAAUUCGCCGAUCGGUUCAUUCUAAUUGUCUUCUUCAUGUUCAGAACAGACAAAUUCGCUUUCUACUUCAAUUUUGUGGUGCAUACCAAAAAAAUAAAAUUGUUGUUUAAAUGAUUUGAGGGCAUAUGAUAAGUCAUGUGACCUCAUCCUUGUUGAUAAGUCUUGUGCAGUUGUGUGGUUAAUUAUAAUUUGAGGGCAUAUACUGCCAAGUCCACGACGACUUGUCAGACCAAAACCAAUUAUGAUAACUUUUGUUUUGGCUUGGUUCCAAGUAAAUAAUAUAAAAGACAAUCUUGACUGAACAAAUGCCAGCAAAGGCAUGACGUCACCAGGCAAAAAUGAAAAGAAGUAAUCAAAACAACGUUAGAAACACCACCGUGAACAUGCACAUGAUGUAUAUAAAGAUGUUUCAUGAGCUGAGAUUUUCAUCAAAUAUUUACUAUUUCUUCAUCUCCCAAAAUUCAUCAAAUAAUGAAGAGACCAGCACAACUUGUGUUCAUCCCAGCCCCAGGCGUUGGUCACAUCGUGUCAACGGUCGAGAUCGCGAAACAACUCGUUGCUCGAGAUGACCAGCUCUUCAUCACCAUCCUCAUCAUGAAGCUCCCCUUCGACAAGCUCUUCACCAAUACAGACCCUUCAAUCUCACACCGCAUCAGCUUCGUCAACCUUCCGGAGUCACACAUCGACACACAGGGCCUUGCCUUCACCUCCUUCAUCAAAACAUUCGUCCAAGGCCACAAAACCCACGUCAAAGACGCCGUCACAAAGUUACUCUCUGAGUCCGCUCAGGCCGAGCUUGCCGGGUUUGUCAUCGACAUGUUCUGCACCCCCAUGAUCAACGUGGCGGACGAAUUCCAGAUUCCUUCCUACGUCUUCUUCACCUCCGGCGCAGCCACUCUAGGGUUCUGGUUCCACCUCCAGUCACUUCAUGAUGAGCAGGGGAAGGACGUUGCUGAGAUAAUUGGGUGGGAAUCUGAGUCGAUCGUCCCGAGUUUCAUCAACCCCGUGCCCGCUGGAGUCUGGCCGAGAGUGACGCGAACGAAGGAAGGCGCUACAGACUUCAUCGAUUUUGCAGCGAGGUUUAGACAAACCAAGGGUAUUUUGAUAAACACUUUCAGGGAGCUGGAACCACAUGCUCUUCGUUCUCUUUCUGAUGGUAAAUUCCCACCGGUGUACCCUGUGGGGCCCCUGUUGAAUAUGAAGAGUGAUGAUGGCCACGUUGGCUCGGACCAGUCCAUUCAGAAGUCUGAUAUCUUGGAGUGGCUUGAUGAUCAGCCUCCUUCCUCGGUGGUGUUCCUGUGCUUUGGGAGCAUGGGAAGCUUUAGUGAGGCGCAGGUGAAGGAGAUAGCGUGUGCGCUGGAGCAAAGCGGGCAGCGGUUCUUGUGGUCCCUACGGAAACCCGAGCCAAAAGGCAAGAUGGGGAUGCCGACCGAUUAUGCGGAUGUCAAGGGAGUCUUGCCUGAAGGGUUUCUUGAUCGGACGGCUGGGAUAGGGAAGGUCAUAGGAUGGGCUCCACAAGUGGCCAUUUUGGCCCACCCGGGGGUCGGAGGGUUUGUGUCCCAUUGUGGGUGGAAUUCUACGCUGGAGAGCAUAUGGUGUGGUGUGCCGGUUGCCACGUGGCCAUUGUACGCAGAACAACAACUAAAUGCGUUUGAGCUGGUUAAGGAGUUGGGAUUGGGUGUGGAAAUUAAGGUAGAUUAUAAUCAGGACAGUGAAGUGGUGGUGAGUGCAGAGGAGAUAGAGAGAGGGAUAAGGCAAGUGAUGGAGAAGGACAGUGAUUUAAGAGCGAGGGUGAAGGAAAUUAGUGAAAAGAGCAAGAAGGCUUUGUCGGAUGGUGGUUCUUCAUAUUCUUCCUUGGGACGUUUUCUUGACCAGAUUUAAGUUUAGAUUCGUUAAAGCUCAAGAUGAUGCAUAGAAACCACAGUUGUUAAUUUUCAUAGGAGAUUUGAUGAGCAAAUAUUUUCUCCGUUUGUUUUACGUAUCGUAGUUCCUAAUAAUGAAGUGUUUUCUGUUAUGUGAUUGGCCCCUUUUUAAAAUCUGAGGAUAUUGUCAACAUGAUAAUGAUGAUGAUGAUGAUGAUGAUGACGAUGAUGAAGUAUUUGUUGGUUAGAUUGCCCCGAAAGCCAUUACGAUGAAAACGAUGGAUUUGCCGAUUUCUUAAUUGUCUUUUUCAUCAAUUCAAUGCAUGUUCAACUUUCCACUAUAAAACAAAGGAAAAUGCUAGGCAGACCAACUUUAGAUACCAACUUGUGUACCAACUCUCUAAUAGAGUCUGUGACCCAUUGUAUUGGUGGGUUCCACCUCUAUUAGAGAGUUGGUACACAAGUUGGUAUCUAAAGUUGGUCUCCCUAGCAUAACCCUAAAACAAAAUAUCAAAGUUUGACCUCUCUUUUUGACAAGUCUAAACUCCGAAAUUCAUCACAUAUUUUCCAAACGUAAAUAAUUAUAAUAUCAAUUUUUUCAACUCACAAGAUUUGUAUAAAAUAAAUCGUUAGACUUUAUACAACCCAUCACAAAAAUGCCAGCAAAGGCAUGACAUCAUAUCAAUUGAUCAACCAGAUAUAUAUAUAUAUAUAUAUAUAUAUAAGCAAGUUUAUCAGCUGAGCUUUUCAUUGCCAUCAUCUUUCUUCAUCUCCACAAAUGAAGAGACCAGCAGAACUUGUGUUCAUCCCAGCCGCAGGCAUUGGCCAUGUUAUGUCCACAAUUGAGAUAGCAAAGCUCUUAGUUUCUCGUGAUGACCGUCUCUUCAUCACACUUCUCAUCAUGAAACGACCCUUUGACAAACUCUUCACAAACACAGACUCUUCAAUCUCACCAUGCAUCAACUUCGUCAACCUCCCCGACCCCGAAACAACAGAUCUCUCUUGCUUCAAAUUCUUCGUCGAAAAUCAGAAGACCCAAGUCAGAGAUGCCGUCGCUAAACUCGUUGAGUCAAAUCAGUCUGGCUCCUCAAAGCCCCGGCUCGCCGGGUUCGUGGUUGACAUGUUCUGCACCACCAUGAUUGACGUGGCCAAUGAGUUUGAGGUACCUUCUUACGUGUUCUUCACCUCCAGUGCUGCAUGUCUCGGCCUUUUGUUCCACCUCCAGACGCUUCGGGACGAGCAUGGCAAGGAUGUGACUGAGUUUAUGCACUCGGAUUCUGACUUGGUCGUCCCGAGUUUUGUCAAUCCUCUGCCUGCUAGCGUCUUGCCUGGUAAGCUACUGGACAAGGAGAGUGCUGAAUCAUUCCUCAACUAUGCCAGGAGGUUUAGAGAAACCAAGGGUAUUUUGGUAAAUACAUUCUGGGAGCUGGAAUCGCAUGCCCUUCAUUCUAUUUCUUAUGGUAAAAACCCACCAGUGUACCCUGUGGGACCCUUAUUGAACAUCAAGAGUAGUGAGGAUGAUAAGGUUUGGGAUAUCUUGAGUUGGCUUCAUGAUCAACCACCGUUGUCCGUAGUUUUCCUCUGCUUUGGGAGCAUGGGAAGCUUCGGUGAGGCCCAAGUGAAGGAGAUAGCAUAUGCGCUAGAGCACACCGGGCCCCGGUUCUUGUGGUCCCUACGCCAGCCCCCACCGAAAGGGAAGAUGGCUAUGCCAAGCGAUUAUGCGGACACUAGUGCAGUCUUACCCGAAGGGUUUCUUGAUCGAACGGCUAAAAUUGGGAAGGUCAUAGGGUGGGCCCCACAAGUGGACAUUUUGGCCCACUCGUCAAUCGGAGGGUUCGUAUCCCAUUGUGGAUGGAAUUCCACGCUGGAGAGCUUGUGGUACGGUGUUCCGGUGGCCACGUGGCCAAUGUAUGCGGAGCAACAAACAAAUGCCUUUGAGCUGGUAAAAGAAUUGGGAUUGGCUGUGGAGAUCAAGAUGGAUUAUAGGAAGGACAGUGAGGUGGUUGUGGGUGCACAAGACAUAGAGAGAGCAAUAAGACAAGUGAUGGAGCAUGAUAGUGUUAUAAGGAAGAGGGUGAAGGAAAUGAGUGAAAAGAGCAAAAAAUCCCUGAUGAAUGGUGGAUCCUCAUACUCUUCAUUGGGUCGUUUUAUUGAUCAGAUUUAACAUUUGAUUCAUCAAAACUUAAAAUCAUUUGUAGUGGUACGAUAUAACACGUGAAUUAGGAACACUAAUGGCUAUAUAAUAAAUUUGCAUAUGUAAACUUACAGUCUUUUUUAUAAUAACAAGGGGGAAAUGAAAUUCCAACAAAGGCUUUAAUAUCUCUAAGGUUAUGAAAUUAAGAAGGGGUGAGGUCCAAUAAAUAUGAAAGAUGAACAAAGCCGCCCGAGCACUUGGCCAAGAAAGCAAAAUAAACUGUAAUCUCAGUUACUGAUGAGGGUUGGGGUUCGAGUAUAGGUCACCAACCAUAUACACAAGUACCGAAAUCUAAAACUAGUACAAACCCACAUAUAUCGUAACAAAUCUAUGUCACAAAUAAACUAUUUCAUUAAUCAUCAACAUCCACUCCCUUACAACUAUUACAUUAGCCUUAUUUAUAGCCUUAUUUAUAGUCAUUAAUCAUCAACAUCCACUCUCUUAAACACCAUUUGUCCCUCUAACUUAGGCAUUAGAGUGGAAUUGGCUGGUACUACACCAGUGCUUCUUGAUCAUUUGCUUUCAAAGUUGUGCAGAACACCUGGGCCCAAGAAGAAAGCCCAUCCAUACAAAUUCAACUUGGACUCACAUUCGAUCUUGGCCCAAUCAAGGUCCUAGUGGACCACCGGAUUCAACACAAGUCAACAACAAUGAUAUAAGAAAGAGGAUGGAAAAAAUGAGUAGUGACAAUAGCCAGAAAGCCUUGGGGGAUGGUUCCUCCUUGGGGUUUAUCGAUCAUAUUUAACUAAUUCUGAUUUAGCAAAGCUCAAGAUCAUUUAAAUGUUUGGCUUUUUUAAACAAGUUUUAUAAAACUUAGUAAAAUCAAGGAACAAAAUAUUGAUAAUAUUGACGAAAUAUCGUCGAUAUUAUCGUCUUUUUGGGUCUAGAAUAUUUUGGAACAUAUUCAUACACAUAUCGUAUAAUUAUAAACAAUAUCGACGAUAAUAUCAAGAAAUAUUGACGUCAAUAAUUUCUCACCUGCUUCAACAAUAUUUUGUCAAAAUAUCGCGAUAGCAUGCAAUGGACAAAAAGGAAAAAAAGAACAAAAACAAAAACAAACAAAAAAAACCCCACAGCACACACGCAAAUGGGGGAAUUGAACCCCUUCCAUUCUACUCCUCCAGCGCCUUAAUCACCAUGUUGCUUCAACGUUAACCAAUCUGAGAUCCAUAUGGGUGGGUUUUAUUCUAUUUUUACUGAUAUUGAUAGUUUCCCAAUAUUUCCAUUGAAAUUUCAGUGUUUUUGAACCACCGAUAUUUCCGAAACCAUCCAUAUUUUAGACUUUGAUUAUAACCAACUAGAUAUUGAGCAGGAGUAUACUUCUUUUUAUAGUAAACAUGAGGUAUAUGAAGAACACAGCUUCGGCCGAGUUGGAAACAUAUUGUAUUCUCAAUUAUAUAUAGAUAAAUUAACAUGAAAUAUGAGCCAUUCAAGAUAUAAUUUUGAUUUCGUCAUUUUUGUGAGGACGAUUAUAUGUGCCUCUUGUAGAACGAUGUUAAAAUAGGUGAAGCCACUCAACUUAUCAUGAACAUAAACUUCUUACCAUGUAACUAGGAGCUUCUACAUUUAUAUCAAUAGCAGUGUGAUAUGUAUGUAUAAGUGGGUUUUUUUUUUUUUUUUGAUAAAUUAGUUUUACAGAUGUGACAAAUUAUAAUUUACAUAAAGGAGAAGUAUUUCCUUAUAUGAAAAGAAGCCAGCAGUAUCCUUAAUUAACAAAUAAAAUAAAAUGACUUGUCUUCUUAAUUGUUAUGACUGAAAAAACUAACAAAUUAUAUGCAUAUAUCAUUGACUUGACAUAUUCAAUGCAUUCUACUACGACUAGUUGGACCAAAAUCAAUUUUUGAUUACCUUUUGUUGUCCUUUUUGUUUUGGAUUUCCGAGUCUAUUACCUAGUGGACUUAAUAAUGGACAACAUCCAAUAUUUUCCGGAUCACAAGAAUUAUAUAACUGAAAAUCUUGACUUCAUAGACAAUCCCACGUACAAGCCCCAGCCAUUGGCCUGGAUAAUUAAAUUCCAAAAAUAAACAAUAACAAUGUGCAAGAAAUACCACUGCCAGCCAUGCACAUGACAUGUGAUGUGUAAAAUUAUGUACAUAUAUACUAAGUUUUAUCGGCUGAGGUUUUCAUUGCAUUCAACACAAAAUGAGGAGACUUGUCUUGAUAAUGGACAAUAUUCAAUAUUUUUCGGAUCACAAGAUUUAUAUAACUCAAAAUCUUUACUUCAUAGACAAUCCCACGUACAAGCCUAGCCAUUGGCCUAGAUAAUUAAAACAAAAACGCUCUUGUUGCUGCUGCACUCACCUUCAAAACUUAAUUCAAGUGAACCAAGUUCCUAUAUUCAUCAUGUAAUUAAGCUUCUCUCAAUUUCUUAAUGCUUUUAUUUUUGGAGUUUAUGAAGUAUCAAUUAGGAGGAUUUGCAAUUGACACUAUCGAAUUAUCAAUUAGGAUUUGCAAUUAGGGCAUCUGUUUCAAUUUAUGAGUUAUGAAUUAUCAAAUAGGAUUUGUAAUUGAUUUUAUUGUUCUUGCUGUAAUUUUUUUAUUUUUUUGUUAUCAAUGAAAUCACAUGGUAUUGUUGAGUUUUCAAUCUACUUAAUACCUAAAUUUAGCUCAAUCCAUUUUAAAACAUGGGUUCGUCCCUGAGUCCACGACGACUUGUCGAACCAAAACCAAUUACGAUGACUUUUGUUUUGGUUUGGUUUCCAAGUAAUUAAGUUUAUCAAAUUUUCAAAGUCACAAGAUUAAUGUAAAAGACAAUCUUAACUAAACAAAUGCCAGUAAAGGCAUGACGUCACCUAGCAAAAAUGACAAAGGGAGUAGUCAAAGCAAUGUUAGAAACACCACCGUGAACAUGCACAUGACAUGCUAUAUAUAAAGAUGUUUCAUGAGUUGAGUUUUUCAUCAAAUAUUUAUUAUUUCUUCAUCUCCCAAAAUUAAUCAAAUAAUGAAGAGACCAGCACAACUUGUGUUCAUCCCAGCCCCAGGCGUUGGCCACAUCGUGUCAACGAUCGAGAUCGCAAAGCAACUCGUUGCUCGAGAUGACCAGCUCUUCAUCACCAUCCUCAUUAUGAAGCUCCCCUUCGACAAGCUCUUCACCAAUACAGACCCUUCGAUCUCACACCGCAUCAGCUUCGUCAACCUCCCGGAGUCCCACAUCGACACACAGGGCCUUGCCUUCACCUCCUUCAUCAAAACAUUCGUCCAAGGCCACAAAACCCACGUCAAAGAAGCCGUCACAAAGUUACUCGCUGAGUCCGCUCAGGCCGAGCUUGCUGGGUUUGUCAUCGACAUGUUCUGCACCCCCAUGAUCAAUGUGGCGGACGAAUUCCAGAUUCCUUCCUACCUCUUCUUCACCUCCGGCGCAGCGGGUCUAGGGUUCUGGUUCCAACUCCAGUCACUUCAUGAUGAGCAGGGGAAGGACGUUGCUGAGAUAACUGGGUGGGAUUCUGAGUUGAUCGUCCCGAGUUUCAUCAACCCCGUGCCUGCUGGAAUCUGGCCGGGAAUGAUGCGGGAGAAGAAAGGCGCCACAGACUUCAUCGAUUUUGCAGCGAGGUUUAGACAAACCAAGGGUAUUUUGAUAAACACUUUCAGGGAGCUGGAACCACAUGCUCUUCGUUCUCUUUCUGAUGGUAAAUUCCCACCGGUGUAUCCUGUGGGGCCCCUGUUGAAUCUGAAGAGUGAUGAUGGCCACGUUGGCUCGGACCAGUCCAUUCAGAAGUCUGAUAUCUUGGAGUGGCUUGAUGAUCAGCCUCCUUCCUCGGUGGUGUUCCUGUGCUUUGGGAGCAUGGGAAGCUUUGGUGAGGCGCAGGUGAAGGAGAUAGCGUGUGCGCUGGAGAAAAGCGGGCAGCGGUUCUUGUGGUCCCUACGGAAGCCCGAGCCAAAGGGCAAGGUGGGGAUGCCGAGUGAUUAUGCGGAUGUCAAGGGAGUCUUGCAUGAAGGGUUUCUUGAUCGGACGGCUGGGAUAGGGAAGGUCAUAGGAUGGGCUCCACAAGUGGCCAUUUUGGCACACCCGUCGGUCGGAGGGUUUGUGUCCCAUUGUGGGUGGAAUUCUACACUGGAGAGCCUAUGGUGUGGUGUGCCGAUUGCCACGUGGCCAAUGUACGCAGAACAACAACUAAAUGCGUUUGCGCUGGUGAAGGAUUUGGGAUUGGGUGUGGAAAUUAAGAUGGAUUAUAAGCAGGACAGUGAAGUGGUGGUGAGUGCAGAGGAGAUAGAGAGAGGGAUAAGGCAAGUGAUGGAGAAGGACAGUGAUAUAAGAGCGAGGGUGAAGGAAAUUAGUGAAAAGAGCAAGAAAGCUUUGACGGAUGGUGGUUCUUCAUAUUCUUCCUUGGGACGUUUUCUUGACCAGAUUUAAGUUUAGAUUCGUUAAAGCUCAAGAUGAUGCAUAGAAAACAUAGUUGUUAAUUUUCAUAGGAG
rnacentral:lncRNA from 1 species